CUCUCUCUCUCUCCCCCUGCGGCCCUCUCUCCGUUGCCGCGCUCCGCCGCCGUCGUCCUCGGCUCCCUGCUCCUGGUCGCUGACGCUGCAUCCCCCCUCCUCCCGAGGCCGCCGCCGGGCACGAGGCCCGUGUGGGGAAGCAGGAGGCCAAGGCCCAGGCGGAGGCAGAGGCGCACGGGGACCGGGUGGCCAUGGCGGAGGCCGGCGGCGCUAGGACUGGAGGUUGGAGGAGGACGGCGAGUCAGAGGCGCACGUGGACCGGGUGGUCGUGGCUGGAGGUUGGAGGAGGACAGCGUGGUGCUGUACAAUAGCUCGGCUAGGUGGUCACCAACCGUGCAUCUGCAGCUUCCGUGCCCCCUCCUGCUCCGUAUUGCUGGCGCCGUCAACCUCCCAUGGACGACGGCCUCAUUGUGUUCGAUCAAAUGGGCAUAAAUGGUGCAAAAGCAGUACUGCUGUGUUGAUCAAUGGAGGAGGCAAUUCACAUAAGGGAAUGAUAUUUCAAUGUUUCUUACCUUGAGCUCAGAAGCACUUCCUUGGCCGCAAAAUUUAGAGGACAAUGAUUCAACUGUUUCUAGCUUAGUUAUUGAAAAGUGACCUGCAUCACUGCCUUCAGUGCCAACCAAACUCUCAUGCAUGGCAGGUGAUUCUCCUGUGCAUAUUGUCUUUGGAAGGAGUUUGCUCACCCGCAAAUGCUUUCAUUCUUGGUGAUGCCUGACACAAAGCUCUAGCGAUUGCAAUAGCAAAGUGUAAGCUUUCUGAACUUUGCGAUCAUAAAGGUUUCAACUAUUGAAAUUUAUUUACCGGACUUGAUAAGAAAUCUGCUCUUAUGAAAGAUGGUCCUGACAGCACUAUGUCAAGGGACCUUGGAUACAGGUAGAAUCUGACACUAUAGGCUAAUUUAUCUAUUUCUUCAAUCUAGAUACUCUUUCAGUUGAGAUAUGUUUAUUCUCACAUCUUCCAAAUCAUAGACAUACAGCUGACAUUUUUUUACUCUUUAGAUUAACUUCUAACAGUACGGUUUCUUCAGAUGUUUUGCUUUUUUUUAACUCUGUGCCAACCUCUAAGUUCUAUUAGUUUCUUCUUGAAUUAGGUGUAGGUUUGCUCAUAAUGCUUCCAUGGUAUUUUGUUGAGGUUGUCUCAACUCAUUUUUCCUGUUUCGUUGUGUUGUUAUAGCAUUACCCUUUCUUUUAUGACGAGCUCACUUGUCAUUUUCAUCAGUGUUUUCAUGCAAGCAUUUAACAUUCCAUCCAGACUCACGUUGUGUUCUUAUAUUUGAUCUUAGACCUCUUGAGAGAUGGAGAUGCAGAUCGGCCCCAUUAUUUAGCGCCGGCAGUAGGUCUUUAUCAUUUGUUCUUUUAAAUACGCAGUGUGCAAGAUGGUAUGCAAUUUGUAAAUAUUAGGGGAUCAAAUGCAGCUGCCAAGAAUGGCGAAUUAUAUGUAUUUUGUACUCAUCAGCUUUCUAAAUUGUAGAUAUUGAUGGUCCAAAAUGUAUAUAUUAAUCUGAUUUGAUUGAUUAUCGUACUAUCUUCGGAAUGUUUUC